ACUGCUACUCUGUAGCUGGUUGAAAUCGGGCCAAAUUGUAUCAAUCCAAAAGGCAUUUGGUCCCCUUCAACCAGCUGUAGUUAGCAUUCCUA
rnacentral:pre_miRNA from 1 species